GGUUCUGUAGUGUAGUGGUCUAGCACUCUGGUUUUUGAAACCAUUUCAUUUGAAAAUUACCAGCGACCCCGGUUCGAACCCGGGCAGGACCU
rfam:Penicillium solitum strain IBT 29525 PENSOL_contig009, whole genome shotgun sequence.